GUCCACGCCGUAAACGAUGGGCACUAGGUGUCGGGGUAUCCACUCCCUCGGUGCCGCCGCUAACGCAUUAAGUGCCCCGCCUGGGAAGUACGGCCGCAAGGUUAAAACUCAAAGGAAUUGACGGGGCCCGCACAAGCGGUGGAGCAUGUGGUUCAAUUCGAUGCAACGCGAAGAACCUUACCUGGGUUUGACAUCUGGCGAAUCCCCGGGAAACCGGGGCGUGCCCGCAAGGGAGCGCCAAGACAGGUGCUGCAUGGCUGUCGU
rnacentral:rRNA from 1 species